UACGUAGGAGGCAAGCGUUGUCCGGAAUUACUGGGCGUAAAGCGCGUGUAGGUGGUGGGACAAGUCUGCUGUGAAAGCGCCUGGCUUAACCGGGCGAGGUCGGCGGAAACUGUUCGACUCGGAGGACGGUAGAGGGGGUGGAAUUCCCGGUGUAGUGGUGAAAUGCGUAGAGAUCGGGAGGAACACCUGUGGCGAAGGCGGCCCCCUGGGCCGGCCCUGACACUGAGACGCGAAGGCGUGGGGAGCGAACGGGGAUUAGAAUCCG
rnacentral:rRNA from 1 species